rnacentral:rRNA from 1 species
UACGAAGGACCCGAGCGUUAUCCGGAUUUAUUGGGUUUAAAGGGUGCGUAGGCGGACUUAUAAGUCAGUGGUGAAAUCUCCAGGCUUAACCUGGAAACUGCCAUUGAAACUGUUUGUCUUGAGUACAUUUGAGGCGGGCGGAAUGUGUCAUGUAGAGGUGAAAUUCUUAGAUAUGACACAGAACACCAAUUGCGAAGGCAGCUCGCUAAAACUGUAACUGACGCUGAUGCACGAAAGCGUGGGUAGCAAACAGGGAU